rnacentral:rRNA from 1 species
GACAGAGGAUGCAAGCGUUAUCCGGAAUGAUUGGGCGUAAAGCGUCUGUAGGUGGCUUUUUAAGUCCGCCGUCAAUCCCAAGGCUCAACCCUGGAGAGGCGGCGGAGACCACCGGGCUUGAGUCCGGUAGGGGCAGAGGGAAUUCCCGGUGGAGCGGUGAAAUGCGUAGAGAUCGGGAAGAACGCCAAGGGCGAAGGCACUCUGCUAGGCCUGAUUUCGCGACUGACACUCAGGGACGAGAGCCAGGGGAGCGAAUGGG